rnacentral:rRNA from 1 species
AGUGAACGCUGGCGGUAGGCCUAACACAUGCAAGUCGAACGGCAGCACAGUAAGAGCUUGCUCUUACGGGUGGCGAGUGGCGGACGGGUGAGGAAUACAUCGGAAUCUACUUUUUCGUGGGGGAUAACGUAGGGAAACUUACGCUAAUACCGCAUACGACCUACGGGUGAAAGCAGGGGAUCUUCGGACCUUGCGCGAUUGAAUGAGCCGAUGUCGGAUUAGCUGGUUGGCGGGGUAAAGGUCCACCAAGGCGACGAUCCGUAGCUGGUCUGAGAGGAUGAUCAGCCACACUGGAACUGAGACACGGUCCAGACUCCUACGGGAGGCAGCAGUGGGGAAUAUUGGACAAUGGGCGCAAGCCUGAUCCAGCCAUACCGCGUGGGUGAAGAAGGCCUUCGGGUUGUAAAGCCCUUUUGUUGGGAAAGAAAAGCAGCAGGUUAAUACCCCGCUGUUCUGACGGUACCCAAAGAAUAAGCACCGGCUAACUUCGUG